rnacentral:rRNA from 1 species
UGCAAGUCGAACGGUAACAGGAAAAGCUUGCUUUUCGCUGACGAGUGGCGAACGGGUGCGUAACGCGUAUGCAAUCUACCUCAAACUGGAAGAUAGCCCCGGGAAACCGGGAUUAAUACUCCAUAACAUUUCAGAAAGGCAUCUUUUUGAUCUUAAAGCUCCGGCGGUUUGAGAUGAGCAUGCGUCCUAUUAGUUAGUUGGUGAGGUAAUGGCUCACCAAGACUUCGAUAGGUAGGGGGCCUGAGAGGGUUAUCCCCCACACUGGUACUGAGACACGGACCAGACUCCUACGGGAGGCAGCAGUGAGGAAUAUUGCGCAAUGGACGAAAGUCUGACGCAGCCAUGCCGCGUGCAGGAUGACGGCCCUACGGGUUGUAAACUGCUUUUAUUUGGGAAGAAACCCUUCUACGUGUAGAAGGCUGACGGUACCAAACGAAUAAGGACCGGCUAACUCCGUGCCAGCAGCCGCGGUAAUACGGAGGGUCCAAGCGUUAUCCGGAUUUAUUGGGUUUAAAGGGUGCGCAGGCGGAUUAAUAAGUCAGUGGUGAAAGCCUACAGCUUAACUGUAGAACUGCCAUUGAUACUGUUAAUCUUGAGUGUAGUUGAAGUUGGCGGAAUGUGACAUGUAGCGGUGAAAUGCUUAGAUAUGUCACAGAACACCGAUUGCGAAGGCAGCUGACUAAGCUACUACUGACGCUGAGGCACGAAAGCGUGGGGAGCGAACAGGAUUAGAUACCCUGGUAGUCCACGCCGUAAACGAUGAUAACUCGUUGUUGGCGAUACACUGUCAGCGACCAAGCGAAAGCGUUAAGUUAUCCACCUGGGGAGUACGUUCGCAAGAAUGAAACUCAAAGGAAUUGACGGGGGCCCGCACAAGCGGUGGAGCAUGUGGUUUAAUUCGAUGAUACGCGAGGAACCUUACCAAGGCUUAAAUGUA